rnacentral:sRNA from 1 species
UUGUGUUUUGUUAUAUUUGUAAGUAGUUAAUUAGCGCACGGCUCAAACCCCUUUGAGCCAUUCCCUUGAGCCCGAAUAUAUUAUUCGGGCUUUUUUU